rnacentral:tRNA from 1 species
ACAUGAGUGCCAGAUAGUAUGGGUUGGUUUUAAGCAUCAAAUAUGGGGGUUUCCCCCUCGUGUG